rnacentral:lncRNA from 1 species
CAAACCUGCUGAACAAUGGCCUUGAAAUCUGGGUGGUGAGUCCAGAAAUCAAAAAACUUAAAGGGCUUCACCUUAUGAGCCAGCUGCGUAAUCCUGACUAUCAUAGGUGAAUGAUCCGAUAUCCCCGGAUUAAGAAACGAUGCCUCAGAGUAGGAGAAUUGGAGAUUCCAUUCUCCAUUUACAAGGACACAGUCUAUUUUCCUCAUCUUCCUCGCUUCACCUGCUGAGGUAGACCAGGUAAAACGGCAUCCAAUGUACCUGAGAUCCAUCAGCUCAGCCUGAGCUAAGCACUGAGCAAACUCAUCAAAGCAGGGAAUCCAGUUGGUAGAACCACCCAUACGAUCAGAAGGCCCUUUUAUUGCGUUAAAAUCACCAGCAACCAACCAAGGAGAAUUUUGAAAGAUGUUACUGUAAUGAAUGAGAUCCUCCCACAAAGGCCGACGGCGAGAGAAUGAGUGUUCCCCAUAUACAGCCGAGACACAGCAAUUCAGACCAGAAAGAUUAAACUUAAGAGAACCAUGCACAGCUUGAUCACUGACAGAGAUAGACGAAUAGGAAACCAGAUCUGGGUUCCAUCCAACCCAGAUCCUC